rnacentral:rRNA from 1 species
UAAGACAGAGGUGGCGAGCGUUGUUCGGAAUUAUUGGGCUUAAAGAGCGCGUAGGCGGUCCGGAAAGUCAGUUGUGAAAUCCCUCGGCUCAACCGAGGAACUGCUUCUGAUACUAUCGGACUUGAGCGAUUCAGGGGCGAGUGGAACUCUGGGUGGAGCGGUGAAAUGCGUUGAUAUCCAGAGGAACGCCGGAGGUGAAGACGACUCGCUGGGGACCUGCUGACGCUGAGGCGCGAAAGUUAGGGGAGCAAACGGGAUUAGAUACCCCGGUAGUCCUAACCGUAAACGAUGUGCACUAGGCUUUGGGGGUUCUGACGCCCUCGGUGCCGUAGCGAAAGCGAUAAGUGCACCGCCUGGGGAGUACGGUCGCAAGGCUA